rnacentral:rRNA from 1 species
UGGGGAAUUUUGGACAAUGGGCGAAAGCCUGAUCCAGCAAUGCCGCGUGUGUGAAGAAGGCCUUCGGGUUGUAAAGCACUUUUGUCCGGAAAGAAAUCCUUGGCUCUAAUACAGUCGGGGGAUGACGGUACCGGAAGAAUAAGCACCGGCUAACUACGUGCCAGCAGCCGCGGUAAUACGUAGGGUGCAAGCGUUAAUCGGAAUUACUGGGCGUAAAGCGCGCGCAGGCGGUUUGCUAAGACCGAUGUGAAAUCCCCGGGCUCAACCUGGGAACUGCAUUGGUGACUGGCAGGCUAGAGUAUGGCAGAGGGGGGUAGAAUUCCGCGUGUAGCAGUGAAAUGCGUAGAGAUGUGGAGGAAUACCGAUGGCGAAGGCAGCCCCCUGGGCCAAUACUGACGCUCAUGCACGAAAGCGUGGGGAGCAAACAGGAUUAGAUACCCUGGUAGUCCACGCCCUAAACGAUGUCAACUAGUUGUUGGGGAUUCAUUUCCUUAGUAACGUAGCUAACGCGUGAAGUUGACCGCCUGGGGAGUACGGUCGCAAGAUUAAAACUCAAAUGAAUUGACGGGGUCAUAGCUGUUUCCU